UUUGUGAACCCAACUUUUUCCAAUAAUUGAUGUACCCACAAAACUUCACAAACGAUUUUUGCCAUGACUCGACAUUCAGGUUCAGCACUAGAACGGGAGACCACAUUUUCUCAGCUUGGUAAAACGCCUUAUACACAUCAUAAAUACUAGAAAUAUUCUCUUUGACAGAAUAUAGAAAUUCCAAAUACUCCAUUAAUUCUUUAACAAAUUCAGAAUGAUUAAUAAGACUAAUCACCUUACUGUGAAUAAAAUUUCGAAUCCGUGAACAAUACUCGAUGACUCGUGAACAGUACCCGAUGAAUAAUUCCCGUGAACAAUAACUGAUGAACAGAGCCCUAAGUCUCCAAAUGUUACCCUUUAUGAGUAACCCAAAUGUAACCCAAAUGAACAGAGCCCUAGAUCUCCAAAUGUUACCUUUUAUGAGUAACCCAAAUGAACAGAUCCUAAAUUUCCAAAUGUUACCUUUUAUGGGUAACCCAAAUGAACAGAGCUCUAAGUCUCCAAAAGUUACUCUUUAUGGGUAACCCAAAUGAAUAAUAUCAACAAAACCUCCACCCAACACCCAAACGAACCGCUAAUAUGACAAGGGAGCUGUAAAGCGACAUUGGCAUCAUCUUUAGGUGAACAGUGAGAGACAAAUAUUA
rnacentral:lncRNA from 1 species